GACGAACGCUGGCGGCGUGCUUAACACAUGCAAGUCGAACGGAAAGGCCCUGCUUUUGUGGGGUGCUCGAGUGGCGAACGGGUGAGUAACACGUGAGUAACCUGCCCUUGACUUUGGGAUAACUUCAGGAGACUGGGGCUAAUACCGGAUAGGAGCUCCUGCUGCAUGGUGGGGGUUGGAAAGUUUCGGCGGUUGGGGAUGGACUCGCGGCUUAUCAGCUUGUUGGUGGGGUAGUGGCUUACCAAGGCUUUGACGGGUAGCCGGCCUGAGAGGGUGACCGGCCACAUUGGGACUGAGAUACGGCCCAGACUCCUACGGGAGGCAGCAGUGGGGAAUAUUGCACAAUGGGCGGAAGCCUGAUGCAGCAACGCCGCGUGCGGGAUGACGGCCUUCGGGUUGUAAACCGCUUUCGCCUGUGACGAAGCGUAAGUGACGGUAAUGGGUAAAGAAGCACCGGCUAACUACGUG
rnacentral:rRNA from 1 species